GGUUAUGGUUAAGGUGGAGUGAAGCAGGGUCGCGCUAUUUAAAUCUUCGGCUCGCCCUCUUCUUGGUGAUUGACUUACCUAAAGAGGGAAUUUUCUGUCGUUCUGUUAGAAGCUGUAACAGGUGGUUACCAUACGUGUGAAUUCCAGGACUCUUGAGCUCCUAACAGCACUUCAGCCCUUGAGCAGACAAUGGAAUCAGGUGACAAAUCCCCAACCAUGAAAGACAACCCUGAGCUUAGGGAAGGCAUCGAGAAUUUCAACAAAAAAGCUCUUAAAAAGACGACCACUCAGGAGAAGAUUGUACUACCAGAUCAAAAGGAUAUCGAAGAAGAGAAAAAGUUAUGUGCAGGAAAGUGAAGACUGAUGAUGAUUGUGUUCAGUAAAUUCCAUAUGUCUUACACCUCCUUUAAUGGAUUUGCGCAUUAACCUUCAUGGCACUCAGAAUUAUGUGCGAGGCUUUGUAAUUUGCAGACUGAAUGAUGAGCUGUCAAUGCUUUGUAAUAAUGAACCCGUUGAGAGGAGGACUGAAAAAGAGAAAAAGAGUUGGAACCCAAAAAGUUAGAGGGGACAUUACAGUAUGCUGUUUAGACGAGUUUAAAUGACGAGGAACACCUGGUAACUUUUGAAAGAUAACUGCAUUGUCUCUAUCUGGUGCCACAUUUUGUCUUCCUUUUUAAAAUGGUUAAAUGUAUAUGUUAAAAAAAAAUAAUAAAGAUGAUUUAAAGAGA